ACCGAGGCCGGAUCCGGAGCGGGGCCGGGGCCGGACCCGGCACCUGAGAGGAGCUGGAGGCGGCCUCCCAGCGCGGGGCUCUCCAGGCCGUUGGGUUCUCGGGACCAGAGAGGGCGGCCGCCGGCCUCGUCAAGCGGCCUGGCCGACCCUGCGCCGCGGGCCCCUCGGUUUCUCUGCUUCGUGAGCAGGAUCUAUUUUUCUCGGCCUUUCUGAAAAGGGAGAACGUGGCUCGAUUUCCAGUCUGACGACUUGUGCAUAGAUCACUUGUUUUUAAAUCACUUAAAAGCAACCAUGAAGUUGAAAGAGAAGAAAUCGAGGCCAAAGCCACCAAACUAUGGCAGAAUUCAGAGGAAGGGCAUCAAAGUUGUGGGAAAAUGGAAGCAGGUGAAGAUUGACCCAAAUAUGUUUGCAGGCGGACAGAUGGAUGACUUGGUGUGCUUUGAGGAACUGAUGGAUUAUCAGUUGGUCUCCUCUGCGGAGAGUUCCUCCAGUCUUUUCUCAAAGGAGGAGCCCAAGAAGAGAAAGGCACAAGCUGUUUCAGAAG